AAAAAUAUUUGAAAAGCAGUGGAACUACAGAUAUGGAACUCGCAAUCUUUACAUCCACGAACAAUUUCUGAGGCGAACUAUGAAAGAUUGAAUGCUUUACUUGGAACUUGCAAUAAUCUUUUUGUGUAAAAUAGAUUACAUACUACAUAGUAUAUUGUAAAUAUGUGCACUUUCUGUUUUUAAUAACAGCAUGUAAUUUGUCAUCAAUCCUGCCAAAAAUACCAUUGUCCUGCAUGUUGGCAUUGUGAUUAACGAAACAAAAAACUUUACUCUCUUUAAGGUUCAGUGACAUGUCAUGGUGAGAUGACAAACAAUACCAAUUGUCCUAAAGAUCAGUACAUGGUGGUCAAGACUGCAUCGUAUCGUAGAUUGAAUGACACAAAGACAUGUGGUUUAAGUGAUGAUUAUAGUUGUGAAGUUGAUGUAACAUGUCUUGUUAAGAAACAAUGUGAUGGUCAACAUGAGUGUAGUAUAACUGUGAAUGAAACCUUGUUCUCUGGUGAUCUAUGUCCUGGAUUGACAAAAUAUCUUUACUUUGAAUAUCAAUGUAUUGAUACAGCGACACCU
rnacentral:lncRNA from 1 species